UACGUAGGGGGCAAGCGUUGUCCGGAUUUAUUGGGCGUAAAGGGCGCGCAGGCGGCGCUUCAAGUCCGUUGUGAAAUUUCAGGGCUUAACCCUGACGGGUCAACGGAAACUGAAGGGCUAGAGUGCAGCAGAGGAAAGCGGAAUUCCCGGUGUAGUGGUGAAAUGCGUAGAUAUCGGGAGGAACACCAGAGGCGAAAGCGGCUUUCUGGGCGUGUAACUGACGCUGAGGCGCGAAGGCUAGGGGAGCAAACAGG
rnacentral:rRNA from 1 species